rnacentral:rRNA from 1 species
UGACCUGGCGGCAGCUUACCAUGCNAGUCGUACGAUGAUUACAGCUUGCUGGUAUGAUUAGUGGCGAACGGGUGAGCAAUGCUUAGGAAUCUGCCUGGUAGUGGGGGACAACAUUCCGAAAGGAAUGCUAAUACCGCAUACGACCUACGGGUGAAAGGGGGCGCAAGCUCUCGCUAUCAGAUGAGCCUAAGUCGGAUUAGCUAGUUGGUGGGGUAAAGGCCUACCAAGGCGACGAUCUGUAGCCGGUCUUAGAGGAUGAUCAGCCACACUGGGACUGAGACACGGCCCAGACUCCUACGGGAGGCAGCAGUGGGGAAUAUUGGACAAUGGGCGAAAGCCUGAUCCAGCCAUGCCGCGUGUGUGAAGAAGGCCUUUUGGUUGUAAAGCACUUUAAGUGGGGAGGAAAAGCAACUGGUUAAUACCCAGUUGCCCUGACGUUACCCACAGAAUAAGCACCGGCUAACUCUGUGCCAGCAGCCGCGGUAAU